AGGCAAGUCUCCGAGAAGGGAUCUGAUGAGAACUCUCCGGGAUCACCAAAGAAGACUCGCCAGCGCUGUCCAGCAGGAGGCCGAGGGCCUCUCUCU